AGUGAACGCUGGCGGUAGGCCUAACACAUGCAAGUCGAACGGCAGCACAGUAAGAGCUUGCUCUUACGGGUGGCGAGUGGCGGACGGGUGAGGAAUACAUCGGAAUCUACUUUUUCGUGGGGGAUAACGUAUGGAAACUUACGCUAAUACCGCAUACGACCUACGGGUGAAAGCAGGGGAUCUUCGGACCUUGCGCGAUUGAAUGAGCCGAUGUCGGAUUAGCUAGUUGGCGGGGUAAAGGCCCACCAAGGCGACGAUCCGUAGCUGGUCUGAGAGGAUGAUCAGCCACACUGGAACUGAGACACGGUCCAGACUCCUACGGGAGGCAGCAGUGGGGAAUAUUGGACAAUGGGCGCAAGCCUGAUCCAGCCAUACCGCGUGGGUGAAGGAGGCCUUCGGGUUGUAAAGCCCUUUUGUUGGGAAAGAAAAGCAGCAGGUUAAUACCCCGCUGUUCUGACGGUACCCAAAGAAUAAGCACCGGCUAACUUCGUG
rnacentral:rRNA from 1 species